rnacentral:rRNA from 1 species
GCAGGCUGCAACUCGCCUGCAUGAAGCUGGAAUUGCUAGUAAUCGCGGAUCAGCAAGCCGCGGUGAAUACGUUCCCGGGCCUUGUACACACCGCCCGUCACACCAUGAGAGUCGGGAACACCCGAAGUCCGUAGUCUAACCGCAAGGGGGCGCGGCCGAGGGUGGGUCCGGUAAUUGGGGUGAAGUCGUAACAAGGUACC